rnacentral:lncRNA from 1 species
GGAGAAGGAGAUCGUGGCUCAACUCUCCUAAGCUGAAUGGCUUUGUGAGACUCAUCAUCAUCAAAGUACAUAUAAGCAAAACCACCGUGCCUGGUCAUAUCCAUACCGGCCAUCUCAUCCUCGGACGAUAUCCGCAACAAUUUCAUUUUCUUGAGGAUGAAGAAAAGUGUCCCCAUGGUCGCACUUACCCAACCCGUGAUCACAAUGAUCUGAAUCAGCUGAGCUCCAAGUAGUUUUCCUCCACCGCCCAUAAACAAACCGUGUGGCCUUCCGGGUUUGUUGCCGUAAAUCUGGUUCAAGUACUUUUCUUGAGCGAAGAGAGCCGUGAAUAUUAGUCCCCACGCACCGCAACCACCGUGUAGUUGUGCUGCCUCAAGAGGGUCGUCGUAUUUGAGCUUCUCAGCGAGCUUGUUGCAUCCGAGGAGGACUAGGGCCGCCACGAACCCGCAGAUGAUCGCAGCCCAUGGCUCAACGACAGAGCAGCCACCAGUUAUGGCUGCAAACCCUCCGAGGAGGCCGUUGCAUACAUCAGUGACGUUCCAAUGUCCCGAGAGUAGACGUUUCCCAAAUAGGGUUGUCAGCGCCGCGGUGCAGCCAGCUAACGUUGUUGUGACAGCUGUCCGUCCGACCGCGCUCCACUGGCCGUUGUAUGUGCCUGUCUCGUACGUGACUAGGAUCUUGUUGAAGGAACCGGGGUUAAAUCCGUACCAUCCAAACCAGAGGAGGAAUGUUCCAAGGACAACAAGUGACGCCGAGUGGCCACGAAGAGCGAUGGCACGGCCUCCGUUAUCGAACCGGCCAAGUCGUGGACCUUCGAUGAGCGCACCCCAGAGUCCAGCGAUACCUCCGACCAUAUGAACAACACCGGACCCAGCGAAAUCUAUCGCUCCGGUGCUGAAAAGCAAAUCUCCAUCGGUACGGAACGGGCUGGCCCAUCCAUCAACUGACCAGAACCAGUGAGAGACGACCGGGUAAACAAACCCGGUUAAGAAAGAGGAAUAGAUUAGGUAAGCCACGAACUGUGUCCGUUCAGCGAUCGAGCCACUUGUGAUUCCAGCCGCAGCGAUUGCAAAGGCCCAUUGGUAGAGAAAGUUGGAGUAGUCAGCAGAGGCCGUGGGGAUGUCUUUGAGACCAAAGUAGUGUUUACCGAUGAAACCAUUGGACGGAGAUCCAAAGGCAAAGGCGUAGCCAAACAGAUAAUAGAAGAGACCACCGGCUGCAGCGUCAAGGACGUUGGUAAGCAUGAUGUUCAUAGUAUUCUUGGCUCUCACGGAACCGGCACAGAGCAUAGCGAAGCCAAGCUGCAUAGAGAAGACAAGGUAGGCGGAGAAGAGAAGAUGUAGUUGGCCGCCGCCGUGGCAUUAGGACCCAACAGGACAGCGAGAUCGGUGGCCGAGCAAGACAUGUUGAGAGUUUAGAGAAGAAGAUGAAACAGAGAGGCUGAGAAAGAAAGUGUUUUGUUUCUCUGUUUAUAUAAAAGAAGGAAGCUAAAGGCCUAGGGUUGACUUUUCAAUCCUGACGAAAAAUAUUCGUAACGCAUAAUACAAAGUCUUUAAGUUUUGUUUAUUAGUACAUACAUGUGAAUAAAAAAUAAAUAAGGAAUGUAAAUGUAUCAGGCUUCAGCU